rnacentral:rRNA from 1 species
GUAGGUGGCAGGCGUUGUCCGGGAAUUAUUGGGCGUAAAGCGCGCGCAGGCGGUUCUUUAAGUCUGAUGUGAAAGCCCACGGGCUCAACCGUGGAGGGUCAUUGGAAACUGGAGAACUUGAGUACAGAAGAGGAAAGCGGAAUUCCACGUGUAGCGGUGAAAUGCGUAGAGAUGUGGAGGAACACCAGUGGCGAAGGCGGCUUUCUGGUCUGUAACUGACGCUGAGGCGCGAAAGCGUGGGGAGCAAACAGGAUUAGAUACCCUAGUAGUCCACGCCGUAAACGAUGAGUGCUAAGUGUUAGGGGGGUUUCCGCCCCUUAGUGCUGCAGCUAACGCAUUAAGCACUCCGCCUGGGGAGUACGGCCGCAAGGCUG